AUCGAAAAGCGGGGAGCUCACAGUAGUGGGCUGAGAGGAAGCUGAGACUGCUUCGACCCUUGACCUGAUUUGGAUAAUGCCAACGUAGGGAACCAUAGCCAUUUGUAU
rnacentral:ncRNA from 2 species